rnacentral:rRNA from 1 species
AUUGAACGCUGGCGGCAUGCCUUACACAUGCAAGUCGAACGGCAGCACGGACUUCGGUCUGGUGGCGAGUGGCGAACGGGUGAGUAAUGUAUCGGAACGUACCUUUCAGUGGGGGAUAACGUAGCGAAAGUUACGCUAAUACCGCAUAUUCUGUGAGCAGGAAAGCAGGGGAUCGCAAGACCUUGCGCUGAUUGAGCGGCCGAUAUCAGAUUAGCUAGUUGGUGGGGUAAAGGCCUACCAAGGCUACGAUCUGUAGCGGGUCUGAGAGGAUGAUCCGCCACACUGGAACUGAGACACGGUCCAGACUCCUACGGGAGGCAGCAGUGGGGAAUUUUGGACAAUGGGGGCAACCCUGAUCCAGCCAUGCCGCGUGAGUGAAGAAGGCCUUCGGGUUGUAAAGCUCUUUCGGCCGGGAAGAAAUCGCAUCAGCUAAUACCUGGUGUGGAUGACGGUACCGGAAUAAGAAGCACCGGCUAACUACGUGCCAGCAGCCGCGGUAAUACGUAGGGUGCGAGCGUUAAUCGGAAUUACUGGGCGUAAAGCGUGCGCAGGCGGUUGUGUAAGACAGGCGUGAAAUCCCCGGGCUCAACCUGGGAACUGCGCUUGUGACUGCACAGCUAGAGUACGGCAGAGGGGGGUGGAAUUCCACGUGUAGCAGUGAAAUGCGUAGAGAUGUGGAGGAACACCGAUGGCGAAGGCAGCCCCCUGGGCCGAUACUGACGCUCAUGCACGAAAGCGUGGGUAGCAAACAGGAUUAGAUACCCUGGUAGUCCACGCCCUAAACGAUGUCAACUAGGUGUUGGGUGGGUAAAACCAUUUAGUACCGUAGCUAACGCGUGAAGUUGACCGCCUGGGGAGUACGGCCGCAAGGUUAAAACUCAAAGGAAUUGACGGGGACCCGCACAAGCGGUGGAUGAUGUGGAUUAAUUCGAUGCAACGCGAAAAACCUUACCUACCCUUGACAUGUCCAGAAGCCCGGAGAGAUUUGGGUGUGCCCGAAAGGGAACUGGAACACAGGUGCUGCAUGGCUGUCGUCAGCUCGUGUCGUGAGAUGUUGGGUUAAGUCCCGCAACGAGCGCAACCCUUGUCGUUAAUUGCCAUCAUUUAGUUGGGCACUUUAACGAGACUGCCGGUGACAAACCGGAGGAAGGUGGGGAUGACGUCAAGUCCUCAUGGCCCUUAUGGGUAGGGCUUCACACGUCAUACAAUGGUCGGUACAGAGGGUUGCCAAGCCGCGAGGUGGAGCCAAUCCCAGAAAGCCGAUCGUAGUCCGGAUUGCAGGCUGCAACUCGCCUGCAUGAAGUCGGAAUCGCUAGUAAUCGCGGAUCAGCAUGUCGCGGUGAAUACGUUCCCGGGUCU